rnacentral:misc_RNA from 1 species
CGCACCUUGCACCCUCUGGUAUUCCGGAGGGUAUGCCUGUCUGAGUGUCUUGUAAAUCAUCAUCCCGCCGGGUCCUGCCCGGCGGGGUUGGAGUUGGGUGUUGCCCUUCGUGGGCUCGCCUUAAAUGUAUCGGCGGCCGUCCCGGUCCGUUGUGUGGCGUGAUACGUUUCGCUGCGCGGCGGGCCGGUGGCCUCCUUGAAACCGCCACCUCGUGUGGAAGCAUCGAUUGACCUCAGAUCAGGUAGGACUACCCGCUGAACUUAA